AUUGAACGCUGGCGGCAGGCCUAACACAUGCAAGUCGAACGGUAACAGGAAGAAGCUUGCUUCUUUGCUGACGAGUGGCGGACGGGUGAGUAAUGUCUGGGAAACUGCCUGAUGGAGGGGGAUAACUACUGGAAACGGUAGCUAAUACCGCAUAACGUCGCAAGCCCAAAGAGGGGGACCUUCGGGCCUCUUGCCAUCGGAUGUGCCCAGAUGGUAUUAGCUAGUAGGUGGGGUAACGGCUCACCUAGGCGACGAUCCCUAGCUGGUCUGAGAGGAUGACCAGCCACACUGGAACUGGGACACGGUCCAGACUCCUACGGGAGGCAGCAGUGGGGAAUAUUGCACAAUGGGCGCAAGCCUGAUGCAGCCAUGCCGCGUGUAUGAAGAAGGCCUUCGGGUUGUAAAGUACUUUCAGCGGGGAGGAAGGGAGUAAAGUUAAUACCUUUGCUCAUUGACGUUACCCGCAGAAGAAGCACCGGCUAACUCCGUG
rnacentral:rRNA from 1 species